rnacentral:rRNA from 1 species
AGAGUUUGAUCCUGGCUCAGAACGAACGCUGGCGGCGCGCCUAAUACAUGCAAGUCGAGCGAGAAGGUGUAGCAAUACACUUGUAAAGCGGCGAACGGGUGAGGAAUACAUGGGUAAUCUACCAUCGAGUGGGGAAUAACCAACCGAAAGGUUGGCUAAUACCGCGUACGCCUCCGAGUCUUCGGGUUCGGAGGGAAAGCUGCACUGUGAGUGUAGCGCUCUUUGAUGAGCUCAUGUCCUAUCAGCUUGUUGGUAGGGUAACGGCCUACCAAGGCUUUGACGGGUAGCUGGUCUGAGAGGACGAUCAGCCACACUGGCACUGCGACACGGGCCAGACUCCUACGGGAGGCAGCAGUAAGGAAUAUUGCGCAAUGGGCGAAAGCCUGACGCAGCGACGCCGCGUGGGGGAUGAAGGUCUUCGGAUUGUAAACCCCUUUCGGGGGGGAAGAUGGAGCGAGCAAUCGUUCGGACGGUACCUCCAGAAGCAGCCACGGCCAACUUCGUGCCAGCAGCCGCGGUAAUACGAAGGUGGCAAGCGUUGUUCGGAUUCACUGGGCGUACAGGGUGUGUAGGCGGUUUGGUAAGCCUUCUGUUAAAGCUUCGGGCCCAACCCGGAAAGCGCAGAGGGUACUGCCAGGCUAGAGGGUGGGAGAGGAGCGCGGAAUUCCCGGUGUAGCGGUGAAAUGCGUAGAGAUCGGGAGGAAGGCCGGUGGCGAAGGCGGCGCUCUGGAACAUACCUGACGCUGAGACACGAAAGCGUGGGGAGCAAACAGGAUUAGAUACCCUGGUAGUCCACGCCC